UACGAAGGGGGCUAGCGUUGUUCGGAUUUACUGGGCGUAAAGCGCACGUAGGCGGAUAUUUAAGUCAGGGGUGAAAUCCCAGAGCUCAACUCUGGAACUGCCUUUGAUACUGGGUAUCUCGAGUAUGGAAGAGGUGAGUGGAAUUCCGAGUGUAGAGGUGAAAUUCGUAGAUAUUCGGAGGAACACCAGUGGCGAAGGCGGCUCACUGGUCCAUUACUGACGCUGAGGUGCGAAAGCGUGGGGAGCAAACAGG
rnacentral:rRNA from 1 species